UACGGGGGGGGUAAGCGUUGUUCGGAAUUACUGGGCGUAAAGGGCUCGUAGGCGGCCAACUAAGUCAGACGUGAAAUCCCUCAGCUUAACUGGGGAACUGCGUCUGAUACUGGAUGGCUUGGAUUCGGGAGAGGAAUGCGGAAUUCCAGGUGUAGCGGUGAAAUGCGUAGAUAUCGGGAGGAACACCGGUGGCGAAGGCGGCUUCCUGGACCGACACUGACGCUGAGGCGCGAAAGCUAGGGGAGCAAACGGG
rnacentral:rRNA from 1 species